rnacentral:rRNA from 1 species
GACGAACGCUGGCGGCGUGCUUAACACAUGCAAGUCGAACGGAAAGGCCCUGCUUUUGUUGGGUGCUCGAGUGACGAACGGGUGAGUCGCACGUGAGUAACCUGCCCUUGACUUUUGGAUAACUUCAGCAGACUGGGGCUAAUACCGGAUAGGACCUCCUGCUGCAUGGGGGGGGUUGGAAAGGUUGGGGGGUGGGGGAUGGACUGGCGGCUUAUCAGCUGGUGGGUGGGGUGGUGGCUUACAAGGGCAUGGACGGGUGGCCGGCCUGGGUGGGUGCCCGGCCACAUGGGGAUUGGAAUACGGCCCGGACCCCUCCGGGAGGAAGAAGGGGGGAAUAUUGCACAAUGGGCGGAAGCCUGAGGAAGCAACGCCGCGUCCGGGAUGACGGCCUUCGGGUUGUAAACCGCUUUCGCCUGUGACGAAGCGUGAGUGACGGUAAUGGGUAAAGAAGCACCGGCUAACUACGUG